CCAUAUAUGAGGGCUUGUUCCUGACCAAGGAUGAGGAAGUGGCUACCUUUGUUGACCUUGUCAGAGGCAACAUGAGAAGUGCAAAUGACAGUGCUGUCUGCGGUACUGCCAAGUUCAGUGCUGGCAGAGAGAUGUCAAAAAAGGCUGGUGCUCAGAUAGAUGAGGAGGGCAUUCAAGUUGCAGUUUGCAGGUGAGAUGGGGCGGCAGAAGCCAGGAUGGAGCAGGAAACACGGUGGCAGAGGA